rnacentral:rRNA from 1 species
UACGUAGGGGGCAAGCGUUGUCCGGAAUUAUUGGGCGUAAAGAGCGCGUAGGCGGUCCGAUAAGUCGGCUGUGAAAGUCAGGGGCUCAACCCUUGGAAGCCGGCCGAUACUGUCGGACUAGAGUCCGGAAGAGGCGAGUGGAAUUCCCGGUGUAGCGGUGAAAUGACGCAGGAUAUCGGGAGGAACACCAAUGGCGAAGGCAGCUCGCUGGGACGGUACUGACGCUGAGGCGCGAAAGCGUGGGGAGCAACAGG